GGCCCUGGUGUCCGCGCUGUGGCCCGCGGGGUCCCCGCAGGGUCCGGGCUGUAUCCUCACCCUGUCCCCUCAGUCGGGAGCACGUCAGGGAACGCAGGGCUGUAUCCUCAUCGUGUCCCUUCGUUCGGGAGAAGAUGAGGGAACGGGCUGUAUCCUCACCAUGUCCCCUCGUUCGGGAGCAGAUGAGGGAACGCAGGGCUGGCGCAGGUCGCGUUCCGCAGCUCAGGGGCACCGCGUGUGGGGAAUCAGUGCCUGUGGCCCUCUCUGGGGACACAGAGAUUUCAAGUGUUUAAUAACCUGGGGAAUAAAGCUAGCAAAUUUGCAUAGGCAUUGGAAGGGAUGGACCUGACUUAGAGCAAAAUAGAAGAAACAUACCAGUGGAAGAAAAUGUCACUGGAGCUGAAGGUACUGCUUUGGAGCAAGUCUAAGAUUACUUGAGCUCACAAGAACACCACGUCUUCCCAGAAUUUUGUAACAUGGGCCAGUUCUUUGGGUGCAUAAGAAUCUAUGUCCCAGCAAACAUGGAGCUAAAUACUCUCUGGAAAAGGUACUGUGCAGUUCCUGUUUGUUACUUGCUGAACUUCAGGGGAAGACUUCACAAACUCUGUCUUGAGCUCUGAGAUAGCC